UACAGAGGAGCCAAGCGUUGUCCGGAUUGACUGGGCGUAAAGCGCACGCAGGCGGUUUGGCGCGUGGGGUGUGAAAUCUGGCCGCUUAACGGCCAGGCGCCAUCCCAUACGGCGCGACUGGAGGGCUGCAGAGGUCGAUGGAAUUGCCGGUGUAGUGGUGAAAUGCGUAGAGAUCGGCAGGAACACCCAGGGGGAAACCAGUCGACUGGGCAGCACCUGACGCUGAGGUGCGAGAGCGUGGGGAGCGAACCGG
rnacentral:rRNA from 1 species